rnacentral:rRNA from 1 species
CAGUCGCCGCGGUAAAACGGAGGGGGCUAGCGUUGUUCGGAAUUACUGGGCGUAAAGCGCACGUAGGCGGCUUUACAAGUCAGAGGUGAAAGCCUGGUGCUCAACACCAGAAUUGCCUUUGAGACUGUAUCGCUUGAACGUCGGAGAGGUGAGUGGAAUUCCGAGUGUAGAGGUGAAAUUCGUAGAUAUUCGGAAGAACACCAGUGGCGAAGGCGGCUCACUGGACGACUGUUGACGCUGAGGUGCGAAAGCGUGGGGAGCAAACAGGAUUAGAUACCCCCGUAGUCCCUGUCUCUUAUAC